GGCACUUUGGCGGAGUGGUUAACGCGCGGGCCUGCUAAGCCCGUUCCUUCGGGAGCGUGUGUUCGAAUCACACAGGUGUCG
rnacentral:tRNA from 2 species